UGCCAAGGACGGACACUGGGAACAAGGCAGAAGGCAUCUGUGAUACUGCAUUUACAAAACACAUAUAAAAUAUCCAAAAAGAUGGGAACCCCUGCUGCAGCCAAGCAACAGUUUCAGAACAACCUGCGUAGGCAGAGCGUUCCUGUGUUGAUUGAAAUCAAGCCAGGUCAAUGGGAUUAACAGACUCCUCCUGGGAAUGUUCCAAGGGAACUCUGCAUGACUGCAGGCAGGCUGAGCCUCCUCUCUGCUGAGUUCCAUCAGCAGGGGGACAGCCUUGGGCACAGCCUCUGCCAGCAGAGGCAGGGUCAUCCUGUCUCAGGACCGGAGCGCUGCCAGUGCAGUUCUGUAAUCCCCCAGAGAAUCUCUCAUCUAAUCUCAGGCCAAAAUUUGUGCUGUUUCAGCUUAAGAUCUGGCAGAGGUAGCAUCCAACUCAGGCAAGUGUUAGAACCCCAGUAAAAGCACUCACCUGAGCCAUCCCGCUGGGAGCUCCUGAUCCAGCACCAACAGCUGUGACUUGGGCAGGGGCAGGGCCUUGGGCACUUCCCAGAGAACUCAAUAUAUUCUGUGUUUCAGGUGGGUGCCGUGCUGCCUGGCCAGCCUGAGUUUGCUACCACCACAAAGCAGUUUGUGGUGAGAAACAUCAGGCAUGAAGCUGCAGUUUGUGCCUCUGCUGCUGGGAUUUGCUCUCAUCUGACCACUAGCACUGCUCUGCAGCCCAGCACUUCAUGAACAUUGAAGUGAUGGCACAAUACUCAACAAACAUUCUCAAGGCUACAUUAAAUACCAACUUGACAUCUUCUUGUCAAGUGAAAGUGACAAACAAAAAACAAAUACUGACAAUGUGGGCAUCAAGAUGAAGAUGAAUAACAUACAACAGCUCCUGUAAUGUGCAGUGGGCUUAUAUGAUAAUAUUUUUUAGACACAACUGAAGUUUCCAAGUUUCCUUAGGUGACAUUUGAGAGGGUAAAAAAGCCAACCCCAGCUCACCCACCUCGCCUUCUUUCCAUGCAGUAAUCAGCACAGGCUUGGAUAAACAAAUGGGCACUGGGGUCAGUCACUUGUCCCAGCAUCUGAAUUUACUCUGCCUAGUCACAAACUGUGAGGCACAUCACCUGUGCGUUCAGGAGACAGAUACUGAUGGAUCGAUUUUACAUUCUAUUCCACAUUUAAAGCUUUUUGUCUCAACAGCCUGAAGAAUUGGAGAUUAAGUGGUUUAAUUUGGAUGUCAGGCUGGAGCUUCAUGGAGGAAGGAAGCCUCCAGAGCAGCAAGACAGCCUGAACUGCUACAAGCCUACUCUGGAGAGCAUCGUGUGUGCAGCUCCAUCCCUCCCCUCUCCCAGAUGGAGCUGUCUCCAACUCUGCCAGACUUCAGGCAAAGAAAGUUCUUUACAUUUACUGCCUUAUCAUCAUGGAGAAAUUGAACCCAACACCAACUGCUAGCAACCAGAAGCAGAGCUUCUUAGAGAGCAAAAUUUCCAUGUCAGAUCUUCAGAUCUCUCUGUCAUAGCCAAGGGCUGUUUUCCAUCUGGUUAUUGCACAAUGCUAAAACAAGAGGAUGGGAAGAUUCCUUUUCUCAGGGAGAAACUAAGUGAAUUGUCAAGAGGAAUAUGCCUGCAUGUUUAGCAUUAAAUGUAAAUAUGCAUGGAA